rnacentral:rRNA from 1 species
GUAGUCCACGCCCUAAACGAUGAUUACUCGAAGUGUGCGAUACACAGCACGCCUCUGAGCGAAAGCAUUAAGUAAUCCACCUGGGAAGUACGACCGCAAGGUUGAAACUCAAAGGAAUUGACGGGGGCCCGCACAAGCGGAGGAGCAUGUGGUUUAAUUCGAUGAUACGCGAGGAACCUUACCUGGGCUUGAAAGUUAGUGAAUGCCGUAGAAACAUGGCAGCAAGCAAUUGCACGAAACUAGGUGCUGCAUGGCUGUCGUCAGCUCGUGCCGUGAGGUGUUGGGUUAAG